GAUGAACGCUGGCGGCGUGCCUAAUACAUGCAAGUCGAGCGAACAGACGAGGAGCUUGCUCCUCUGACGUUAGCGGCGGACGGGUGAGUAACACGUGGAUAACCUACCUAUAAGACUGGGAUAACUUCGGGAAACCGGAGCUAAUACCGGAUAAUAUAUUGAACCGCAUGGUUCAAUAGUGAAAGACGGUUUUGCUGUCACUUAUAGCUGGAUCCGCGCCGCAUUAGCUAGUUGGUAAGGUAACGGCUUACCAAGGCAACGAUGCGUAGCCGACCUGAGAGGGUGAUCGGCCACACUGGAACUGAGACACGGUCCAGACUCCUACGGGAGGCAGCAGUAGGGAAUCUUCCGCAAUGGGCGAAAGCCUGACGGAGCAACGCCGCGUGAGUGAUGAAGGUCUUCGGAUCGUAAAACUCUUUUAUUAGGGAAGAACAACUGUGGAAGUAACUAUGCACGUCUUGACGGUACCUAAUCAGAAAGCCACGGCUAACUACGUG
rnacentral:rRNA from 1 species